rnacentral:rRNA from 1 species
CUCGUGUCGUGAGAUGUCCGGUUAAGUCCGUUAACGAGCGCAACCCUUGCUGUAUGUUACAUGUGUCAUACGGGACUGCCGGUAUCAAGCCGGAGGAAGGUGGGGAUGACGUCAAGUCAGCAUGGCCUUUAUGUCUGGGGCUACACACACGCUACAAUGGCCAGUACAAUAGGUUGCAAAGCCGCGAGGUGGAGCCAAUCCUUAAAGCUGGUCUCAGUUCGGAUUGCAGGCUGCAACUCGCCUGCAUGAAGUCGGAGUUGCUAGUAACCGCGCGUCAGCUAUAGUGCGGUGAAUACGUUCCCGGGCCUU